CCGAACCCACGUCUGUUGAAAAAGACGGGGAUGACGUGUGGCUAGGGGUGAAAGGCCAAUCAAACUGGGAAAUAGCUCGUACUCCCCGAAAUGCAUUUAGGUGCAGCGUUCAGGUAGAGUAUUAUAGAGGUAGAGCUACUGAUAGGGCUAGGGGGCUUCACCGCCUACCAAACCCUGACAAACUCCGAAUGCUAUAAUAUAUACUGAGCAGUGAGGGCAUGGGUGCUAAGGUCCAUGUCCGAGAGGGAAAGAACCCAGACCAUCAGCUAAGGUCCCAAAAUAUAUACUAAGUUGA
rnacentral:rRNA from 1 species